UACGUAGGGGGCAAGCGUUGUCCGGAAUUAUUGGGCGUAAAGAGCGUGUAGGCGGUCCGGUAAGUCAGCUGUGAAAGUCAAGGGCUCAACCCUUGAAAGCCGGUUGAUACUGUCGGGCUAGAGUCCGGAAGAGGCGAGUGGAAUUCCCGGUGUAGCGGUGAAAUGCGCAGAUAUUGGAAAGAACACCGAUGGCGAAGGCACUCUACUGGGCUAUUACUGACACUCAGAGACGAAAGCUAGGGGAGCAAAUGGG
rnacentral:rRNA from 1 species